rnacentral:rRNA from 1 species
GAUGAACGCUAGCGGCAGGCUUAACACAUGCAAGUCGAGGGGUAUAUGUCUUCGGAUAUAGAGACCGGCGCACGGGUGCGUAACGCGUAUGCAAUCUGCCUUUCACAGAGGGAUAGCCCAGAGAAAUUUGGAUUAAUACCUCAUAGUAUAAUCAAGCCGCAUGGUUUAAUUAUUAAAGUCACAACGGUGAAAGAUGAGCAUGCGUCCCAUUAGCUAGUUGGUAAGGUAACGGCUUACCAAGGCAACGAUGGGUAGGGGUCCUGAGAGGGAGAUCCCCCACACUGGUACUGAGACACGGACCAGACUCCUACGGGAGGCAGCAGUGAGGAAUAUUGGACAAGGGGCGCAAGCCUGAUCCAGCCAUGCCGCGUGCAGGAUGACGGUCCUAUGGAUUGUAAACUGCUUUCGUACGAGAAGAAACAUCCCGACGUGUCGGGACUUGACGGUAUCGUAAGAAUAAGGAUCGGCUAACUCCGUGCCAGCCGCCGCGGUAAUAC